ACUGGAGCGGGCACCUGGCGCUCCCGCGCUGCGGCGCGCAGAGCUAGCUGCGGGGCUGGGGAAUCCGCGGCCACCGCCUCUAAUCCGCCCUUAAGUAGUCUCCGCCUGCGUCACGCCAGGUCGGCGGAGGGGAGCAGAGCGCGGCGUGCCGCUGUCGCCGAGCGUCGGAGCCCGAGGGGCCGCGGCCGCGCGCCGCGGGGGGAGGAGAUGGUCUGGAGUCCCCCCGCUGCGCCGGGGAUGGGGAGACGGAGGACUGCAGCGCCCCUUGGGGCUUCUGAGGCGCCCAGGUAACCUCACCUGGCCGCCAGUCUCCCGCAGGAGGAACAGACACGUUGGUUCCACACCGAACCUAUUAACAGCUCAACUUCAAAUAUUUGGCAGAGGUGGGAUUGCUGUUCACUAAGGUUAUAUGAGCCAGCUUGGUUACUCAAAUGUGAAAAUGCAUAUUUUCCAAUCCUGGAGUGACUGCUCCCUGAAGAGAGUCCUGGUCCUAGGAAUCUGGGAUUCUACCUGAAGUCCCAAAGAUGAACAAAUGGUAGAGAGAGGCACCUGAGUGAGCCUGCUUCCUAAACGACUUCUCAGAACUGCCUGCAGCUGGGCUGCCUAACAGAAGCUCAAGUUCUGGGAUUCCACUCUUGAAGAAAAAUGAAUCUGCCCUUAACUUAGUGAGCCCUCAGCCUGUAGGUCAGGACAUGUAGUUCUUGCUACCCUGAAACUCACUAUGUACGACAGACUGGCCCCAACACACUGAGAUCUGCCUGGUUCUGUCUCCCUGGUGCUGAGAUCAAAUGUCGAGUCUAGAUCAAAGUUGUGGGCUCAGCCGAGAUGGGAGCAUUCCAGCCUUCCCAGGCACUCCCCCUCACUGUGAUGGACACCAGUGAAGGAACAUAGGAAGGAAGACACUGGAACCUUUUGCUCUGCCAGUACAGAAGUUGUUCCCUGCAUUCUCCCUCUCAUCUGGACUGCUUGGCUAUCUCAUACCUAGCUGCAGAGCCUAAUUGUUUCCCAUUGUUAGUGUUCCCGACCUUACAUCAACCUUCACACUCCUUUCUAACUCUAUCUCUGUUUUCAUCAUAACAAGUAUAAUUUGUGGUUGAUCUUCUUGUGUUGUUUUAGGUUGACUUAGUGGCCCCUUGUUAUCUACUAAUGAACUUGUGAUAAAAUAUGCCGAGUACACAAACUAAAAUUAUCUAUGAUUUGAGAAAAAAAGAAUCUAGCUACCAUUUAUAUUAUUGUAAAUAUACAAAUAAAAUAAUGUAUGGGGUAUCUGGCUUGAAAUGCAUACCAUCAUGACCUUUGUCAUAUGACAAAGUAAGCAAAGUCUUUCAUCUUAGAGAGAAACGAAAUUAUAUAUUUGAUCUCCUUGUUAUAUUUUCUUCAACUAAAAGCUGUCCAACUGC
rnacentral:lncRNA from 1 species